rnacentral:rRNA from 1 species
UUUUCGCAAUGCCCGAAAGGGUGACGAAGCGACGCCGCGUGGGUGAGGAAGGCCCUCGGGUUGUAAAGCCCUGUCAGGAGUUAAGAAAUGUAGAUACGCUAAUAUCGUAUCUAUUUGACAAAGGCUCCAAAGGAAGCCACGGCUAACUCUGUGCCAGCAGCCGCGGUAAUACAGAGGUGGCAAGCGUUGUUCGGAAUUAUUGGGCGUAAAGAGCACGUAGGUGGAUUUGUAAGUCAGAUGUGAAAGCCUUCUGUUCAACGGAAGAAUUGCAUCUGAAACUACAAACCUUGAGUAUAGGAGGGGAGAAUGGAACUUCUGGUGGAGCGGUGAAAUGCGUAGAUAUCAGAAGGAACGCCGGCGGCGAAAGCGGUUCUCUGGCCUAUUACUGACACUCAGUGUGCGAAAGCUAGGGGAGCAAACGGGAUUAGAUACCCCGGUAGUCCUAGCCGUAAACGAUGGGCACUAAGUAGAGGGGUUUUA